GAUGAAGAACGUAGCGAAAUGCGAUAAGUAAUGUGAAUUGCAGAAUUCAGUGAAUCAUCGAAUCUUUGAACGCACAUUGCGCCCGCCAGUAUUCUGGCGGGCAUGCCUGUUCGAGCGUCAUUUCAACCAUCAAGCCCCAGGCUUGUGUUGGGGACCUGCGGCUGCCGCAGGCCCUGAAAAUCAGUGGCGGGCUCGCUAGUCACUCCGAGCGUAGUAAUACAUCUCGCUUUGGGCGUGCGGCGGGUUCUUGCCGUUAAACACCCCCUUUUUACCAAGGUUGACCUCGGAUCAGGUAGGAAUACCCGCUGAACUUAAGCAUAUCAAUAAGCGGAGGA
rnacentral:misc_RNA from 1 species